AGAACCAAGAAUAUAAAGUAACUGCGUAUACACUACACUAUAUAAUGAAUACCAUAUAGUAAACUGUAGGCAUAAUGUUAACAGAGUUUCUGUCUCUGAUAUGCAGAUUUACAUAUAAUCCAUCCUGCUAGUCAACAAUUUCUGUAUUGGUCAUUAAAUUUGGAUCAAUGUAAGUUAAUGAUAUUUUGAGUUCUCUGUUUAUGUGAUCCAUGAGCCAGACUUACCUUUAGCCCAGAGUCCUUGAUUCUCACAGUAGGACACCUACGCGGUCACGUGUAAGAUGAAUUCAGCAUUAUCAAUAUAAAUAUUACUCACUCAUUGAUGGGCAAUGGAUAAUGUUGCUCACGCACUGGACAUUUGUUCACUCUUUCUCCCAUAUGUAAUAUUUUCUCAGUAUCGAAUGUAAAAGAGGCAGCAAUUCCUCUCAUCCAUGAUAUCACAAGCUUUGAAUACUCUGUAUUCCUCGAAAUGAUACUUUAAGGAUUAAGUAAGCAAAUAGGCAUGUAUGCCUGAGUGAUAUUGUCAGAGUAUGGGGGAAGGCCAGUUAAACAAUAUAUAUAUUUUUUAUCAUCUGUGUUGCGCGUGGCAGCUCGGGGAGAGUUGGUUUGAGUCGGGGAACUGCAGCAGGCGCUGCACGUGCUUGGGUGUGGGAGACGUCCACUGCGAGGACUGGGAGUGCGAGGAGCACGAGGUCUGCAGCGUGGAGGACGGCAUCCUCGACUGCUACGCACGAGAAACAACAACUACCGCUCCUCCUCUGGUCUCAACAACAACUUCAAAACCACCAACAGCCCCGCCACUGAAACCUGGUGACUGCGUGAUCUCUGGAGACCCUCACUACAUCACGUUCGACAAGACGACGCACCACUUCAUGGGCGAGUGCACCUACACGGUAGCCACCCCGUGCAACCAGAGCUCCACCCUGCUGCCCCACUUCAACGUGGAGACAACAAAUGAGUUCCGGGACGGUAGCACGGCCGUGUCUUACGUCAAGGAGGUCCACGUGGAGGUCUACGGCCACAGGUUCACCUUGGCCAAAGGACGCCGGGUGCUGGUGAGGGUUUCACGUCAUCCUGUAAUUGUUAUUUGCACAGAGCCGGUGCGUGCCAUUCAGGAACCAUCGCCACAAAGCACAACACUCUCACACACUGCUCUCUCAAUAACUAUAAUGUUCCUGAUGAUUACUUCAUUGCAUUGUCCUAGAGAGCCUUCCAUUUUCAAAAACAUUUACUUUGAAUUUAACAAUGUCCACGGUGUUGCCUGAUGCUUAUAAGAGGCUUCCUUAUCUGGGACUUAGGAAUUGUCUCUGCCUGUGUGUGUGCCUUGGUGUCUCCGAGUGUGCGCUGCGACUUCCUCCGCAGCCCCUGUGUGACAACUCGUGCCCUCUGCCCGCAUCGUCCUUAAAUAUGUGCUCUCUUCAUCCUAAUUUGUGUCCCAUUGUCUCUGAUUCCCAGCCCCGCCGUCUCUGUCUAUUUAAGGCUUCGGCACAGAGAUGCUGCUUCACUUCUUCACUGUGUGCG